GUUUAGGCCUUUUGUAGGGGGCAUGUCCCUAGUUCUUACUGCUAUUUCGUGUGUGGAUGCUACUGCUGUCUCUGUUAUGGCGGCUGCUGCCGGUACACUGCUGGUGCAAUCAGCUGCAAAAUGUUGUUCUGCUGUUCUGUAUAUUCUGUUUUGGCAGCUCCAAUCUUCUAUUUGCUACAACCUGUUUUGCUAUCACCCUGAUGAUAUUUUCUGCUGCUGUUUCUGAUCAUUGACCUCAGUCGAUGCUGCUGUUUGCAAAUCAAAGUAGUUGAUGCCGAUGUUCGAAAUUGCAUUGCAUUGUCUUCUUCCAUUAACAAUGCAAUGCAAUUUGGCUAAGUCUGAAAUAGUUUUGGCUGGCCCUAGGAAACUAAGAUGAUCUGAAACAUAUUUUCAAGAUUUAUACUUCACAGGUUGCUUAUUAUGGUUUUAUGUGUAAACUUCUUCGUUUCAUGUGCAGUUAUCUCUAUGAUGGUACGUUCAAAGGCCAAUGCGAGGAAAUCAGUAGUACCACCUAUGAAAGUGCAGGUCAAGAUGGGUGCAAUAGUUCACGAGGGAAGUAGUUCACACCAGAAGCAACGGAAACCUAGUUGUUUCGCUGUUUAUGUGAAGGAUUUUACUCGAGGUUUAAAGGCAGUAUUUGAAGAAGACAAUAUAAUAAAACAAACAGAGGUGAUGGCAGCCAUGUCGGAAUGGUGGCAUGAGGGAUACUUGCGAAAGAAGUACGACAAAACCUAUUCUGGAUCAAGCAGUGAGGAAGAGAAUGAUGAGGUCGAUGUGAAUGAUGAGGAAUCGAGUGAACAAGAGGGCGACAAUUGUCCCCCCCGUCGAAAGAAGAAGAAGAAGAAGAGUACAGGGGAGAGUAAAAAGAAGAAGAAAGUGCCGGUAUGUCAAUAACUAACGAUGCUUUGUACCUUGCUUAGGAGUUGAAAUGCUUAAUCAUGGGAUUUCACCUUUAUGUGCAUUUAUGUCCAUAUAUAGCUUAUUAUAAAGACAAGGUGUUCCCCUAGGAAAUUUGUUUCCUUGAUUGCUCAAUUGACUCAAGACCAACGUGAUGCAAUCAAAGCAUGUAAUCCAUUCCAUUCAUUACUUCAUGUCAAGUGUGGCCAUAUGCAUAGAGUUUUUGCUAUGCAUUUGGUCCAAUGUUUCAAUCCAGAAACCUAUAGCAUCGAAUUUAGG